UGGCGGACGGGUGAGUAACGCGUGGAUAACCUGCCUUAUACAGGGGGAUAACAGGGAGAAAUUCUUGCUAAUACCCCAUAGGUAUGUCUGACGCAUGUUGGACAUAUUAAAGCUUUGGCGGUAUAAGAUGGGUCCGCGUCUGAUUAGCUAGUUGGUGGGGUAAAGGCCCACCAAGGCGACGAUCAGUAGCCGGCUUGAGAGAGUGGACGGCCACAUUGGGACUGAGACACGGCCCAAACUCCUACGGGAGGCAGCAGUGGGGAAUAUUGCACAAUGGGGGAAACCCUGAUGCAGCGACGCCGCGUGAAGGAAGAAGGUCUUCGGAUCGUAAACUUCUAUCAGCAGGGAAGAAGGAAGUGACAGUACCUGAGUAAGAAGCCCCGGCUAACUACGUGCCAGCAGCCGCGGUAAUACGUAGGGGGCGAGCGUUAUCCGGAAUUACUGGGUGUA
rnacentral:rRNA from 1 species